rnacentral:rRNA from 1 species
UACGUAGGGGGCAAGCGUUGUCCGGAAUCAUUGGGCGUAAAGAGCGUGUAGGCGGCCUGAUAAGUCGGCUGUGAAAGUCAAGGGCUCAACCCUUGAAUGCCGGCCGAUACUGUCAGGCUAGAGUCCGGAAGAGGCGAGUGGAAUUCCUGGUGUAGCGGUGAAAUGCGCAGAUAUCAGGAGGAACACCUAUGGCGAAGGCAGCUCGCUGGGACGGUACUGACGCUGAGACGCGAAAGCGUGGGUAGCGAACAGG